rnacentral:rRNA from 1 species
UACAGAGGGUGCGAGCGUUAAUCGGAAUUACUGGGCGUAAAGCGUGCGUAGACGGUUAUUUAAGUCGGGUGUGAAAGCCCCGGGCUCAACCUGGGAAUUGCAUUCGAGACUGAAUAGCUAGGGUACGGUAGAGGGAAGUGGAAUUUCCGGUGUAGCGGUGAAAUGCGUAGAUAUCGGGAGGAACACCAGUGGCGAAGGCGGCUUCCUGGCCUGUUCUUGACGCUGAGGCGCGAAAGCUAGGGGAGCAAACGGG